GCCUCCGCUCACCUGGUUGCCGCGGGGGCCGCGGCUCCGUGGGGCUCCGCCGUGGGGCCGGGUGGCGCCGGGGAGGCCGGGGGCUCCUCCGCACGGCGCUCGGUCACCUCGUCCUCCUGCAGGAAGAACUGCACCGAGGGGCGUGGCACGGCCAGGAGCAGCCCCGCGCCCCGCGGCCCCGCACCGCCCCUACCUGCACCCCCUCGGCGGGGCCGCCCCGCAGCUCCUCGGCCGAGCGCUCCGUCUCGGUGUCGCACGCCUCCUCCUCAUCCUCCUCGCCCUCCUCGAUGGGGGGGUUCUCCCCGGGGGCGGCCGCUCGCCCGCGCUUCUUCCUGCCCUUUUUGGGGACCCCCUUCUUGCGGCGCGCGUCGGGCGGCAGAUGGGCGGACAGCGGGUGGUGGAUGUGCAGCGAGGACUGCCGGUGGUCUGGGGGCGGCGCGGCUGUUGGGAUGGCUGUCCCCGCCCCGCGCCCCCCCCCCCGCGCCCCGUACCCCACUCACACUCGAAGUCCUCCUCCCCGUAGAUGCGCCCCGGCUCCUCCACGCUGCGCGGGUGCGCGUCGCUGAGGAUCUCCUCGAAGCGCUCCACGCCCAGCGCCUUGUUCAGGUCCUUCUCCUCUUCCUCAGCCAGCGGCGGCGAAGCGGGGCCCGGUGCGGGCGGCUCGGGCUGCGGGCGGGACGGGGCGGGGCUGGGCCGGGCCGGGUGCGUGCCACGGAUCCAUACGGUGCGGGCACCGCCACGGCCCUGCGGCACCGCACGGCACGGCCGUCCCGCGCACCCCCCACGGCACGGACACCCCCGUGGCACCCCCGGGUCCGCCCAUCCCGCACCGCACUCCUGGAUGCAGCCCUCCCCGUGCCCCCCCCGGACACGGACGCCCCGCACACCCCCGCGGCACCGCACGGCACGCACAUCCCGCACACCCCCACGGCACCCCCGGGCGCAGCCGCCCCGCACAGCCCCAGGACCCCGCACCCGAGGGACACACCCCCGCGCCCCACGUCCCCCGGCUCUGCGCCCCACACCCCCCGUGUCACCUCCCCGCGCCCGCACCGCCCCGGGGCGGGUGCCAGCUGCAGGGUGCGGGUAUGGGUGCGGACGCGGGAUAUGGGGGUGGGGUGCGGGAUACGGGUGCGGGCACGGGAUAUGAGUGCGGAUGCGGGGUGCGGGCCGUACCUGAGUCAUGGCGGAGCCCUCUCCCUCCGCAGCGCUCGCGGCGCUUUAUCGGAAGGUCACGGCGGUGGGGGGGGCGGCGCGGGGGGCGGCGGCUCCGUCCCCCCCCUCGGCAAACACCCGCGGAGCCGCCCCGCACCGCCUCAAGGUGACAGCGCAGAGGGCAGCGCAGCGCAGCAGCAUCCCGGCCCCCCCCCCCUCCCCGGGCAGUGCUAUGCGCGGCGCCGCCGGAAUGCGCCCCCCCGGGCGGUGCGCGGCCCUCCGGAACGCGGCUCUCCUCCCCCCGGCCGUGCCCGGAUCCCGCUCGGGGCUGCGCUGCCGGACCCCUCCCCCGGCACUGCCCGGCCCCUUCCCCCAACCCCCCCCGGCUCUCUACCGGGACUCCCUCCGGGAUGA
rnacentral:lncRNA from 1 species